rnacentral:rRNA from 1 species
GAUGAACGCUGGCGGCGUGCCUAAUACAUGCAAGUCGAGCGAACGGACGAGAAGCUUGCUUCUCUGAUGUUAGCGGCGGACGGGUGAGUAACACGUGGAUAACCUACCUAUAAGACUGGGAUAACUUCGGGAAACCGGAGCUAAUCCCGGAUGUUUUUUUGAACCGCAUGGUUCAUAAGUGAAAGACGGUUUUGUUGUACCUUUUAGAUGGAUCCGCGCUGCAUUAGCUAGUUGGUAAGGUAACGGCUUACCAAGGCAACGAUGCAUAGCCGACCUGAGAGGGUGAUCGGCCACACUGGAACUGAGACACGGUCCAGACUCCUACGGGAGGCAGCAGUAGGGAAUCUUCCGCAAUGGGCGAAAGCCUGACGGAGCAACGCCGCGUGAGUGAUGAAGGUCUUCGGAUCGUAAAACUCUGUUAUUAGGGAAGAACAUAUGUGUAAGUAACUGUGCACAUCUUGACGGUACCUAAUCAGAAAGCCACGGCUAACUACGUG